rnacentral:rRNA from 1 species
UACGUAGGGGCCAAGCGUUGUCCGGAUUUAUUGGGCGUAAAGAGCUCGUAGGCGGUUGGGUAAGUCGGGUGUGAAAACUCCAGGCUCAACUUGGAGAUGCCACCCGAUACUGCUCUGACUUGAGUUCGGUAGGGGAGUGGGGAAUUCCUGGUGUAGCGGUGAAAUGCGCAGAUAUCAGGAGGAACACCGGUGGCGAAGGCGGAUCUCUGGGCCUUACCUGACGCUGAGGCGCGAAAGCUAGGGGAGCGAACAGG